AACGAACGCUGGCGGCAGGCCUAAUACAUGCAAGUCGAACGCCCCGCAAGGGGAGUGGCGCACGGGUGAGUAACGCGUGGGAAUGUGCCCUUAGGUGCGGAACAACGUUUGGAAACGAACGCUAAUACCGCAUAAUAUCUCCGGAUCAAAGAUUUAUCGCCUAGGGAUCAGCCCGCGUUGGAAGAGCUAGUUGGUGGGGUAACGGCCUACCAAGGCGACGAUCCAUCGCUGGUCUGAGAGGAUGAUCAGCCACACUGGGACUGAGACACGGCCCAGACUCCUACGGGAGGCAGCAGUAAGGAAUAUUGGACAAUGGGGGCAACCCUGAUCCAGCCAUGCCGCGUGAGUGAUGAAGGCCUUCGGGUUGUAAAGCUCUUUUAGGUGUGACGAUGAUGACGGUAACACCAGAAAAAGCUCCGGCUAACUUCGUGCCAGCAGCCGCCGUAAAAC
rnacentral:rRNA from 1 species